GCAUGCUUAGUCGGUUAGAGCAUGGUGCUGGUAAUGCCAAGGUUCUGGGUUUGAUCCCUAAUGGGACAGCU